UGGGCGUAAAGCGCGCGCAGGCGGUCUUUUAAGUCUGAUGUGAAAGCCCCCGGCUUAACCGGGGAGGGUCAUUGGAAACUGGAAGACUGGAGUGCAGAAGAGGAGAGUGGAAUUCCACGUGUAGCGGUGAAAUGCGUAGAUAUGUGGAGGAACACCAGUGGCGAAGGCGACUCUCUGGUCUGUAACUGACGCUGAGGCGCGAAAGCGUGGGGAGCAAACAGGAUUAGAUACCCUGGUAGUCCACGCCGUAAACGAUGAGUGCUAAGUGUUAGGGGGUUUCCGCCCCUUAGUGCUGCAGCUAACGCAUUAAGCACUCCGCCUGGGGAGUACGACCGCAAGGUUGAAACUCAAAGGAAUUGACGGGGGCCCGCACA
rnacentral:rRNA from 1 species